rnacentral:rRNA from 1 species
AUGUCUCAGCAACAGGCCUGGCAGCCAAAUACGUCUACAUCUGUACAAGCUUCUUCACUCACUAACAUCGGACAGAACUUUCCCGGUGUCAACCAAACAUCAACGAUGCAGAAUGUGUCUUUCAUGCCACAGAACAUAAUGAAUAAUGGCUUGGCGCAAGGCACUUCACAAGAUGUUUAUGCUGCACAAAGGCAAAUGGCAGGAAGGCAACAACAAAAAGAAUCUCAUCAAUUAAUUUAUCAGCAGCAGCAAAUGCUGAUGAAGCAGAAAUUGCAGCAUAAUUCACUACUGCAACCGUAUAUCCAGCAGCAGCAAUCUUUGUUGCAGCCAACACAAAUGCAAUCUUCACAGCAAUCCAUGAUGCAAAUGUCAUCUGGCCUUCACCCUGGGCAGUCCACCGUUCCACAGACACAGCCAAUGGCCAUGCAGUCAGCUACUCAGAGUUUUAAUCAACAUAAUCAAUUGAAUUCCGUACAACACUCUGUGCAAUCAUUACUCGAGCAACCUCAAAAAUCUGUUGGGAGGCAGCAGAAACAAGCACAAGGCUCCAUUCAUCAACAGCCGAAUAUUCUACAACAGAAACAACAACAGUUGAUGGGACAGCAGCCAUAUUUACAACAAAAUCAGCUAAUUGGUCAACAGAAUGGUGUUGUGGAGAUGCAGCAGCAACAGAAGCUACCAGUUCAGUCAAAUAAUCUUUUGAAUGUCCAACAAACACAACAGAUGUUGAACCAGCAGUAUGUGUCUUUGCAUGAGCCACAGCAAUCCGGCUCUCAGGCAAACAUGUCGAUUCUGCAGCAGCAACAACAAAGUCAACAGCAGCAACAACUUCUUGGAACUGUGCCUAAUGUGUCAAGCAUGCAGCCGGUGCAUAUGCUACAAACAAAAGCUCAGCAACCACAACCACAACAGCAGGCUCAGCAGCCUCCAAUGGGUUUGAUGCAACCUCAGUCUCAACACAAGCAACUCCAAUAG